rnacentral:rRNA from 1 species
GAAAGGCGCUUUCGGGUGUCGCUGAUGGAUGGACCCGCGGUGCAUUAGCUAGUUGGUGAGGUAACGGCUCACCAAGGCGACGAUGCAUAGCCGACCUGAGAGGGUGAUCGGCCACAUUGGGACUGAGACACGGCCCAAACUCCUACGGGAGGCAGCAGUAGGGAAUCUUCGGCAAUGGACGAAAGUCUGACCGAGCAACGCCGCGUGAGUGAAGAAGGUUUUCGGAUCGUAAAACUCUGUUGUUAGAGAAGAACAAGGAUGAGAGUAACUGUUCAUCCCUUGACGGUAUCUAACCAGAAAGCCACGGCUAACUACGUGCCAGCAGCCGCGGUAAUACGUAGGUGGCAAGCGUUGUCCGGAUUUAUUGGGCGUAAAGCGAGCGCAGGCGGUUUCUUAAGUCUGAUGUGAAAGCCCCCGGCUCAACCGGGGAGGGUCAUUGGAAACUGGGAGACCUGAGUGCAGAAGAGGAGAGUGGAAUUCCAUGUGUAGCGGUGAAAUGCGUAGAUAUAUGGAGGAACACCAGUGGCGAAGGCGGCUCUCUGGUCUGUAACUGACGCUGAGGCUCGAAAGCGUGGGGAGCAAACAGGAUUAGAUACCCUGGUAGUCCACGCC